UACGUAGGGGGCAAGCGUUGUCCGGAAUCAUUGGGCGUAAAGAGCGCGUAGGCGGCCCUGUAAGUCCGCUGUGAAAGUCAAGGGCUCAACCCUUGGAUGCCGGUGGAUACUGCAGGGCUAGAGUCCGGAAGAGGCGAGUGGAAUUCCUGGUGUAGCGGUGAAAUGCGCAGAUAUCAGGAGGAACACCGGUGGCGAAGGCGGGUCUCUGGGCCGAUACUGACGCUGAGGAGCGAAAGCGUGGGGAGCGAAGCAGG
rnacentral:rRNA from 1 species